AGAAGGGAUGGCGCUGGGAAUUUGGGGAUCUUAGCAGAAGAGAAGUAUCCGGACUGGCUCACCAUCUGCGAGGCUGAAGCUGGUUUUUCAGUGCUCAAAGGAGAGACCGGAGGAGGAGGCUGGGAUGCCCACUGGCUGAAACUCGGAAGGAAAGCACUGGAGUUGUCGCACCGAAGGAGUGCUUGAGAAAAUACUGCGGAAGGGGGAAAAGAUUACCUUAAGUCAAGGGGUGACGCUUGAAAUGUUAAGUGAUGUUUUUUUUUUAUUUUGUGCAAGCCCUGGCUUCUAGUGAAAUCGAGUUAUGCAUCUUUGAAGAGGCUUCAAGCUCCAUUCAAUCGCAUUUGCAACCCUGCCGAAUCAGGGCCUUGCUUCUUUUCCCUGCAAAGUCAUCAUGGCAUUGAUCGGUUAGCUACAGAAGCGCAGGGAAUGCAACACAAGGAGAGGGAGCAGGCCCUCGACUGCAGGCAGGCAGCUGGAGGAAGUCCCCAAGCCCUUGUUAUUUUCCCAGAUCUUCACAGAAACCACACUAUGCAGCUAUUUCUGCCUCUCAUUUCAACAACAGUCAAUUUUGGGUUUCAGGCAGGAACACUCUGACCAGUAACGAGAGGUCAGGAAAGGAAGCAGACACAAGGUCUUCAGACAAACACAGGAGGAGAAUAAAAACAGGUGAUUUUUUACCCAUCCAGUCAACAAAGAGUAAUAGCAACCUUGACUUGUGUGACAGAUGUGAGACAUAACGAGAAAUAACCUACUAUACAAGAGAUUGCCUGGGUAUGUUUCCUUACCACUCCAAUCCCUUCUCAACAAAUUAAAGAUUUAAAUAUAAAGUAAUAAAAGUAUUACAUUAUUUCUCUACACAGAAAAAU